AAACGUACAAUUUCAGUCGUCGUUCCGAGGCAAGUGAAGUAGUUACCAACGGGCGGUGAGCUGUGAGUUCGAGGCGAGCGAUUGUUUGUAGUGCGCUUUUUUCGUUCACGCUUCACAUUUGGGGCCACCAGCCAUACCAUCAUAUCUACCCAGGGAGCCAAUCGUUGGCGGAAUUGGAAGGGACGAGCGGGGGGCGACUGACGGUCUUGGAGGUUGGGGGUGAAAAGAACCGAGCCAGUGUGUCGCGUACAUGUGUGCGAUGGAUGAAAUUUUAUAACCAGAUUUUCGUCGUCGUUGACCGAACCGAACGAACCGGGCCUGAGCGAAAACCGAUGCAAACGAAAAUGACGCGGUACGGGUCGGGGCAUGCGCGUCACCCAGGAGCCUCCCUCGGCUCCUCAGCCCAAGUCCAACUCCAAACCUGAACAACAAAUAUAAAAAUGAAGAAUUUGAAUUUGCGCCCAAAGUAAGGCCAAGUGGUGGUUUGUGCUGUGCCUGUGCGGUGUGAGGUGAUGAUGUAGUUCAUGUUGUUGACUCGCUGCGGCACUGCUUAGCCCGCGAUAACCGCUUGCUAGUUCGAGCCGGCUCCCGCUCCGCGUGUAGCUCUCACGUCUUACUAACUCCGUACGAGUCCAUAAUGGAGGCGCAUUAUGUAUAUCCAUUUAUCGAGCAUUCCGCGCGAAUUCCUCAAUCUAAAUCGCCUUCUUGCAUCUUCUCGGGUUGCAUAAAGCAGGAGCAGUGGCGUUCUAAUCGUAUCCCCAUCCUCGACCAGUGUGGAUGAGGGUCAAAAGCGGAAACUUGCUCUCAACAUCGCCUUGACUUCUCAGGAUGGUAUCGGGACCGACAAGUCGAAUAUUGAACGCCGAAACAACGACGUCGAAUAAUUGUGUUUUGAUUCCGUUCCACAACUCGCCGUAAAUAUGCUUCACAUGAAAAUAUAAAGUUCCUCGUUGAGCGACGACCGCAGCCACGACUGAUAGGGAGAAAUCGUGAUAUCACCAUGAAUGCACAUGUGAUACAUUUUCAAUACAUCUUGUUAUGUACCGCCGUCACUGAAGCCCCUUCCCCCUUCCACGGCCUCGGAAUUUCGUCUGUUAAAUAUAGAUUUAGAUGCGGUUCAAAAUAAAAUAUUUUGCCUAUGUAUCUUGAACCCGAUUCACAAAAUGAAACCAGAAAAGAUGAAAGGAAUUAAUAAAACAAUGUAUCUAUAGAAACGCA
rnacentral:misc_RNA from 1 species